UGGGGAAUUUUGGACAAUGGGGGAAACCCUGAUCCAGCCAUCCCGCGUGUGCGAUGAAGGCCUUCGGGUUGUAAAGCACUUUUGGCAGGAAAGAAACGUCAUGGGUUAAUACCCCGUGAAACUGACGGUACCUGCAGAAUAAGCACCGGCUAACUACGUGCCAGCAGCCGCGGUAAUACGUAGGGUGCAAGCGUUAAUCGGAAUUACUGGGCGUAAAGCGUGCGCAGGCGGUUCGGAAAGAAAGAUGUGAAAUCCCAGAGCUCAACUUUGGAACUGCAUUUUUAACUACCGGGCUAGAGUAUGUCAGAGGGAGGUGGAAUUCCGCGUGUAGCAGUGAAAUGCGUAUAUAUGCGGAAGAACACCGAUGGCGAAGGCAGCCUCCUGGGAUAACACUGACGCUCAUGCACGAAAGCGUGGGGAGCAAACAGG
rnacentral:rRNA from 1 species